rnacentral:rRNA from 1 species
UACGUAGGGGGCAAGCGUUGUCCGGAAUCAUUGGGCGUAAAGCGCGUGUAGGCGGGUCGGUAAGUCCGCUCUGAAAGCCCGGGGCUCAACCCUGGGAGGCGGGUGGAUACUGUCGACCUCGAGUCCGGAAGAGGCGACUGGAAUUCCUGGUGUAGCGGUGAAAUGCGCAGAUAAUCAGGAGGAACACCGGUGGCGAAGGCGGGUCUCUGGGCCGUAACUGACGCUGAGGAGCGAAAGCGUGGGGAGCGAACAGGG